rnacentral:rRNA from 1 species
UACGUAGGUCCCGAGCGUUGUCCGGAUUUAUUGGGCGUAAAGCGAGCGCAGGUGGUUUAUUAAGUCUGGUGUAAAAGGCAGUGGCUCAACCAUUGUGUGCAUUGGAAACUGGUAGACUUGAGUGCAGGAGAGGAGAGUGGAAUUCCAUGUGUAGCGGUGAAAUGCGUAGAUAUAUGGAGGAACACCGGUGGCGAAAGCGGCUCUCUGGCCUGUAACUGACACUGAGCCUCGAAAGCGUGGGGAGCAAACAGG